UACGUAGGGGGCUAGCGUUGUCCGGAUUUAUUGGGCGUAAAGAGCGUGUAGGCGGCCAGGUAGGUCUGCUGUGAAAACUCGAGGCUCAACCUCGAGACGUCGGCGGAAACCAUCUGGCUAGAGUCCGGAAGAGGAGAGUGGAAUUCCUGGUGUAGCGGUGAAAUGCGCAGAUAUCAGGAAGAACACCCGUGGCGAAGGCGGCUCUCUGGGACGGUACUGACGCUGAGACGUGAAAGCGUGGGGAGCGAACAGG
rnacentral:rRNA from 1 species